rfam:Salmo salar isolate Sally breed double haploid chromosome ssa10, whole genome shotgun sequence.
UGUAUUCACUACUGUAAGUCGCUCUGGAUAAGAGUGUCUGCUAAAUGACUCAAA